GACGAACGCUGGCGGCGUGCCUAAUACAUGCAAGUCGAGCGAAUUGAUUUGGAGCUUGCUCCAAUGAUGUUAGCGGCGGACGGGUGAGUAACACGUGGGUAACCUGCCUUAUAGAUUAGGAUAACUUCGGGAAACCGGAGCUAAUACCGAAUAAUACUUUUUGACACAUGUCAGUUAGUUGAAAGACGGUUUCGGCUGUCACUAUAAGAUGGACGCGCGGCGCAUUAGCUAGUUGGUGAGGUAACGGCUCACCAAGGCAACGAUGCGUAGCCGACCUGAGAGGGUGAUCGGCCACACUGGGACUGAGACACGGCCCAGACUCCUACGGGAGGCAGCAGUAGGGAAUCUUCCACAAUGGGCGAAAGCCUGAUGGAGCAACGCCGCGUGAGUGAAGAAGGAUUUCGGUUCAUAAAACUCUGUUGCAAGGGAAGAACAAGUAGCGUAGUAACUGGCGCUACCUUGACGGUACCUUGUUAGAAAGCCACGGCUAACUACGUGCCAGCAGCCGCGGUAA
rnacentral:rRNA from 1 species